ACGCGUUGGCUACGACACCGAGGGGGUCGAUUCCCCCGACACCUAGUGUUCAUCGUUUACGGCCAGGACUACAGGGGUAUCUAAUCCCUUUCGCUCCCCUGGCUUUCGUCCAUGAGCGUCAGUUAUGGCCCAGCAGAGCGCUUUCGCCACUGGUGUUCUUCCCGAUAUCUACGCAUUUCACCGCUACACCGGGAAUUCCCUCUGCCCCUACCACACUCGAGUCUUACAGUUUCCAUCGCUGAAAUGGAGUUGAGCUCCACGCUUUAACGACAGACUUGUAAAACCGCCUGCGGACGCUUUACGCCCAAUAAUUCCGGAUAACGCUUGCCACUCCCGUAUUACCGCGGCUGCUGGCACGGAAUUAGCCGUGGCUUAUUCAUCAAGUACCGUCAGAUCUUCUUCCUUGAUAAAAGAGGUUUACAGCCCAGAGGCCUUCAUCCCUCACGCGGCGUUGCUCCGUCAGGCUUGCGCCCAUUGCGGAAAAUUCCCCACUGCUGCCUCCC
rnacentral:rRNA from 1 species